GGCCAUAUUACGUUGAAACAUCUGUCCCCGUACGAUCACGGAAGUAAAGCAAAGUUGAGAUUGGUUAUUACUUAUAAGGGUGACAGCUUGGGAAUAUCAGGUGCUGUAA